rnacentral:piRNA from 1 species
UACCAAUAUUGUAACCAGGCACGUCU